AAAUGCCAGUUUCUUUGUUCCACGCCCUGGCACCCAUCCGUGACCUCGCGCCGCCGCCUUCGCUCCUCCCGCACUCGCGCCGCCCCCUCUUCCCUUCCUCCCGCCUCGCCUUCCUCUCUCUCCCUCCAAACCCUAGAACCGCCCACGCUUCCCUGCCCCUCUGCCGUCCAGGUCCAGCCCCACGCCGUCGUCGUCUCCUUCGCCCAGCCGGCCACUGAGGUAUGAUGCGACCCUUGCCCCCGCCGUCUCCUUGGCCCAGGCUAACCCAAGCGCCACGGUCGCCACGCCGCUGCCGACUCCUCGGCAGGAGGAGGAGGAAGAGAGUUUGAACAGGGCUGCGAUGGUUCCUGCACGGCGUGAUGCCGGUUAAGGGUAGUUGCCCAUGGUGUUCCUGCGACUGCUAUGUAGGCGGAUUUGGAGGUUGAACCUCUUUCCUCUCUAUUCGUUUGGUACAACAGCUUGUUCUAUGUGACCACGACAGGGAUGGAGCUCUCAGUGAUGUGGAGCUCAAUGACUUUCAGGUCAGAUGUUUUAGCGCUCCUCUCCAGCCUACUACUGAAAUAUCAGGCAUGAAGAGGGUUGUUCAAGAGAAGUUGCCCGGAGGCGUAAAUGAUAGUCGCCUUACAUUGACUGGGUUCCUUUUCCUUCAUGCUCGGUUAUGAUAAUGAAAUCAUGCUUAGAGAUGAAUUCAUUCCAACGUCGGUCAAGCGAGCUCCUGAUCAAUUUGGCCCAUGAGCUUGAGGAUACGUGCUUUCUUGACCUUGGGACACACCGUCCUCCUCCACCAGCCGCCUAACAAGUCCGUCCUUCUUUAGCAGCAGAAACUGAAGCAGCUAGGGUUCACCACAUAUUGCCCAUUAUAUUUAUUUUUUCUACCCCUCUUCCACCAACAAUUACCUUGCAAUAAUGUAGUUCCAAUCUUUGUUUUGUACAGUGUUUCUUAAUCCUGGUUCGCUUCAAUUGAUUGAUUUAGGCAGAUCAUGGAGGUUGCUUCUCACAUUUCUGUUUGGGGAAUUCUUCAAUUGAGAAAUUGAAAUGACUGCUGGUUAGGCACCUCAAGUCACUUUGAUACUAUCAUCAUUCAAAAUAUGUGCAAACAAGCCCAUUGGUGCUCAACAUGGAUACAUGCUUUCUUGACCUCACGUGAUACGCUAACCUAAUCCGCCGGCCGCCUAUAGGUCUUUGUGUGUGUGUGUGCGCGCCUAUGCCAUUAAAGCAGGCGGAGGUGCAACAAUGGAGGAUCCAACCAUUGGUGGAGAUCGAUAUAAGGCUAAGUAACUAAUUUUUUGCUUUUGCUAUCCUGAAUUUCUAUGUGGCACAUUAUGUGUGUGUGUGUGUGUGGAAUUGCUGUGACAUGCUUUUUUCAAUUAUACUCACAUUCUUUGCUUUAGUGGAUUAUUCUAUGCUUGCCCUGUUAACCAUCUUCUUCAUUUAUAAAGAACCUUCAGUGUUUCAUGAUAUUUCAUAGGAUUCUCAUUUUAACAUUUUUAGUGAGAGUCUCUUAAACUAUCUGGUUAGAAGAUAGGUGGAAUAAAUACAUGGUGGUUAAAUCUGAAGCAUAUACGUAUUAUUUCGAGGAAGAGUCCAGUCCGUGUACCUGCAUUGUUGCUACUUGAAUUUUAUUUUCUCGGCUGUAUGGAAGUAUUAGUUCUUUUCAAGUCAAUAUGUUGAUUGACAGAAUAACUAGAAGAUCCACUUGUUGGGAUGGUGCAGCUUUAACAGAAUGCACGUGAUGGCAGGAUACAUGCAAAAAUAAUAAUUUGUGUUAUUAAUCGCCAGCAAAUAAUGGUGAGAUCCAUGCCAUAUAUAUAUCAUAAAACUGUAGGGGAACGUAGUAAUUUCAAAAAAAUUCCUACGCACACGCAAGAUCAUGGUGAUGCAUAGCAACGAGCGGGGAGAGUGUGUCCAUGUACCCUCGUAGACCGAAAGCGGAAGCGUUAGAACAACACAGUUGAUGUAGUCGUACGUCUUCACGGCUCGACCGAUCAAGCACCGA